GCGACGCCAGUUUUUCGAAGCACCAAGUGAUACUACCUUGAUAAUGGUAGCGUGGCGACGGUGAGUAUUAACAACUUUUUGCCAGUAAUAAUAAUGGUAACACCAUGAUGCGAAGGCACAUCGUGCUCCAGUGGAACACCUCAUUCCCUAGCAUGGGUGAGCUUUUGGAAGGAAGUGAGGCCAAGUGCCAGUGCCAGCACGUGUUAGGCUGAGGUGGGCACCACUCGUCCAGCUGGCUCCAUGCCCUGUCUGUCAGAGACCUCAGAUAGAGAGGGGUGUGGGAGACGUAUAGCUGAAAAGCAGAAAUUCCAAAUAAAUGGAUAGUAGAGGGCUGCCAGGACCCGAGCUGAUGCCUUAACUUGACUCAAUGCAGGAGAUUUUGCUCCAUCCAAAUGCAAAGAGGAUUAAGAGGCAGAUAUUCUCUUCCUCAUUUCUAUGGCACAUAAUCGUCUACAGAGUGAUUUGUCAGUUUAAUUACAAUAAUGGCAAUGAAUAAUGGCUAGGAAAGACAAUGUGUAACAAUACCUCCUCACAUACAUUCUCAUUCUGCAAAAACUUGUACUUUGAUGACAUUUUAUGCUGCAGUUGUUCCCCAAAAUCCAUUUUUGCCUUUAUUUGUCCAGUCAUUUUUUUAAACUUGUGUAACUUAUUAGCAUCCAGACUCCUAAAUUGACAUUAGAAGUUAGGAAUCAUUCUUCUAGGUUACUGUGAAGUAAUAUAAGAUAAAUAAAGUUUUUCUUUAAAAGCCA